rnacentral:lncRNA from 1 species
CCGAUGGAAAAGGUACACAUUAUCUCUCUCUCAACUUUUACCAAAUUCUGUUUUUUCUCUCUAGACUCUAAAACCGGUACCUCUGGUCAUAAGCGGUUUUCAAAGGCGGUCUUAUCUUUUAUUUUUUUUAUUUAUUUCGGUUGAAUCUUUCAACAAUCAUAGUAGUAAAAAUUUCAUACUCAUUGAAUAAAUCUAUAACUAAGAUAUACAUGAUCCAAUAAGUAUAAAUUUCUUUUAAUUACUUAAGUUCAAGCAUAAAACAACUAGACCACUAUAAAAAUUUCACCAC